rnacentral:rRNA from 1 species
CAAGUCGCGUGCGCAGUUGCCGUAGCAAUACGGUGAUGGGCGCACGGCGCACGGGUGCGUAACACGUGGGCAAUCUGCCCUCCGAUGGGGAAUAACCCCGCGAAAGCGGGGCUAAUACCGCAUAACAUUCCUUGAGCGAUGGUUCGAGGAUUCAAAGCAGUAUGCGUCGGAGGAGGAGCCCGCGCCCGAUUAGCUAGUUGGUGAGGUAACGGCUCACCAAGGCAAUGAUCGGUAGCUGGUCUGAGAGGAUGAUCAGCCACACUGGAACUGAGACACGGUCCAGACUCCUACGGGAGGCAGCAGUGGGGAAUCUUGCACAAUGGGCGAAAGCCUGAUGCAGCGACGCCGCGUGGGGGAUGAAGCUUUUCGGAGUGUAAACCCCUUUCGCCUGGGACGAAUGCCCGCAAGGGAGUGACGGUACCAGGAUAAGAAGCCCCGGCUAACUACGUGCCAGCAGCCGCGGUAAGACGUAGGGGGCCAGCGUUGUUCGGAAUUACUGGGUGUAAAGGGUUCGUAGGCGGUGUGGCAAGUCGGGAGUGAAAUCUCUGGGCUCAACCCAGAGGCUGCUUCCGAAACUGCUGUGCUUGAGUGUGAGAGAGGCUCGUGGAAUUGCAGGUGUAGCGGUGAAAUGCGUAGAUAUCUGCAGGAACACCCGUGGCGAAAGCGGCGAGCUGGAUCACUACUGACGCUGAGGAACGAAAGCUAGGGGAGCAAACAGGAUUAGAUACCCUGGUAGUCCUAGCCCUAAACGAUCAGGACUUGGGGUGCCGCCCGUUCGGGCGUCGUCCCGGAGCUAACGCGUUAAGUCCUGCACCUGGGGAGUACGGUCGCAAGACUGAAACUCAAAGGAAUUGACGGGGGCCC